AGGUUGGAUUAAAACUUUAUACAAAAAUUAAAGUGCAACUUGAAUUAAUGAACAAUAAUGGCAGACAGAAUUUUGUACAAGAACCUACCUUUUUCAGGAGGCUUGGAGGAAGAGUGGACAUCAGAUGCAUCCCAGGAGUUUAACUUAAAACCUGCCUCGCAGAAAAGGCAGAAGUGAGCAGAAAUGUUCUAGUUGGGUCUCCAAGCCCAUGGGAGAUGGAAAGCAGAAGAGAGGAGUUUUUAAAGAUGCACAGAACAACAGCAAGAAAUGAAAGAUCCAGCCUGACCAUCAGAGGAAUAGUAGAAAAAGCAGCUCAAAAACACCAUGAUCCUUACUCACUUCUGAGGUUGUCAGUGAGUCCCAGGAACCAAGAAAAGCUUUUGGAAGCUCACCAGCCCUUCCCAGGAAUACUUUUGAAAGACAAAACAAGUUCCUUUGCAAAAGAUGUAUUUUAUGGAAAGAAGAUAAGAUUCUUGACAAUCAACAGCAGGACCUUAUUAAAGCAAGGACAAAAGUUUAUUUUAAAACUUUAAACUGGAGGAAGAGCAGGAGCACAGAACAAGAGUCACUUCC